CGGAGGGUGCAAGCGUUAUCCGGAUUCACUGGGUUUAAAGGGUGCGUAGGUGGGCAAGUAAGUCAGUGGUGAAAUCUCCGGGCUUAACCCGGAAACUGCCAUUGAUACUAUUUGUCUUGAAUACUGUGGAGGUCAGCGGAAUAUGUCAUGUAGCGGUGAAAUGCUUAGAUAUGACAUAGAACACCAAUUGCGAAGGCAGCUGGCUACACAAAUAUUGACACUGAGGCACGGAAGCGUGGGGAUCAAACAGGAUUAGAUACCCUGGUAGUCCACGCCCUAAACUAUGGAUACUCGACAUUUGCGAUAAACUGCAAGUGUCUGAGCGAAAGCAUUAAGUAUCCCACCUGGGAAGUACGAUCGCAAGAUUG
rnacentral:rRNA from 1 species